rnacentral:rRNA from 1 species
GUCUACGGCCGUGCCACCCUGAACAAGCCCGAUCCCGUCUGAUCUCGGAAGCGAAGCAGGGUCAGGCCUGGUUAGUCCUUGGAUAGGAGACCACCUAGGAAGACCAGGUGCUGUAGGUG